rnacentral:rRNA from 1 species
CCUACGGGAGGCAGCAGUGGGGAAUCUUGCGCCAAUGGGCGAAAAGCCUGAACGCAGCAACGCCGCGUGGGGGAUGACGGCCUUCGGGUUGUAAACCUCUUUCGACAGGGACGAAGCCUUCGGGUGACGGUACCUGUAGAAGAAGCACCGGCUAACUACGUGCCAGCAGCCGCGGUAAUACGUAGGGUGCGAGCGUUGUCCGGAUUUAUUGGGCGUAAAGAGCUCGUAGGCGGUUUGUCGCGUCGGCCGUGAAAACCUGCAGCUUAACUGUGGGCGUGCGGUCGAACGGGCCAACUUGAGUUCGGCAGGGGAGACUGGAAUUCCUGGUGUAGCGGUGAAAUGCGCAGAUAUCAGGAGGAACACCGGUGGCGAAGGCGGGUCUCUGGGCCGAUACUGACGCUGAGGAGCGAAAGCGUGGGGAGCGAAACAGGAAUUAGAUACCCUGGUAGUCCUACGCCGUAAACGUUGGGCGCUGGUGUGGGGACCGGUUCCUACGGUUUCUGUGCCGUAGCUAACGCUAUUAAGCGCCCCGCCUGGGGAGUACGGCCGCUAGCUAAAACUCAAAGGAAUUGUCGG